GGCUUAACCAUUAAACUGCUUGGGAAACUGAUAGUCUAGAGUGAGGGAGAGGCAGAUGGAAUUGGUGGUGUAGGGGUAAAAUCCGUAGAUAUCACCAAGAAUACCCAUUGCGAAGGCGAUCUGCUGGAACUCAACUGACGCUAAGGCGCGAAAGCGUGGGGAGCAAACAGGAUUAGAUACCCUGGUAGUCCACGCCCUAAACGAUGUACACUAGUUGUUGGGGUGCUAGUCAUCUCAGUAAUGCAGCUAACGCAUUAAGUGUACCGCCUGGGGAGUACGGUCGCAAGAUUAAAACUCAAAGGAAUAGACGGGGACCCGCACAAGCGGUGGAGCAUGUGGUUUAAUUCGAAGAUACGCGAAGAACCUUACCUGGGCUUGAUAUCCUAAGAACCUUUUAGAGAUAAGAGGGUGCUAGCUUGCUAGAACUUAGAGACAGGUGCUGCACGGCUGUCGUCAGCUCGUGUCGUGAGAUGUUGGGUUAAGUCCCGCAACGAGCGCAACCCACGUAUUUAGUUGCUAACGGUUCGGCCGAGCACUCUAAAUAGACUGCCUUCGUAAGGAGGAGGAAGGUGUGGACGACGUCAAGUCAUCAUGGCCCUUAUGCCCAGGGCGACACACGUGCUACAAUGGCAUAUACAAUGAGACGCAAUACCGCGAGGUGGAGCAAAUCUAUAAAAUAUGUCCCAGUUCGGAUUGUUCUCUGCAACUCGAGAGCAUGAAGCCGGAAUCGCUAGUAAUCGUAGAUCAGCCAUGCUACGGUGAAUACGUUCCCGGGUCUUGUACUCACCGCCCGUCACACCAUGGGAGUUGAUUUCACUCGAAGCCGGAAUACUAAACUAGUUACCGUCCACAGUGGAAUCAGCGACUGGGGUGAAGUCGUAACAAGGUAACCGUAGGAGAACCUGCGGUUGGAUCACCUCCUUU
rnacentral:rRNA from 1 species